GGUUGUCGUCAGCUCGUGUCGUGAGAUGUUGGGUUAAGUCCCGCAACGAGCGCAACCCUCGUCCUAUGUUGCCAGCGGGUCAUGCCGGGGACUCAUGGGAGACUGCCGGGGUCAACUCGGAGGAAGGUGGGAUGACGUCAAAUCAUCAUGCCCCUUAUGUCUUGGGCUUCACGCAUGCUACAAUGGCCGGUACAAAGGGCUGCGAUACCGCGAGGUGGAGCGAAUCCCAGAAAGCCGGUCUCAGUUCGAAUUGGGGUCUGCAACUCGACCCCAUGAAGUCGGAGUCGCUAGUAAUCGCAGAUCAGCAACGCUGCGGUGAAUACGUUCCCGGGCCUU
rnacentral:rRNA from 1 species